rnacentral:lncRNA from 1 species
AGAUCCAUGGGAGCAAGAAGAGGGAGGACAACAUAUUUUAGGACCGUGAUGCGAGUAUUAAAGAAAUGUAUAAAUGCAUGGGCAAUAUGUUGCUAUUUCAUGACAUAUGUGCUUAUUAAUUGAACAUUCUGAUAUAUUACGUGCACCUUUUAAGUUUUAUUAUUAGUUUCAUGACAUGUGCUUAUUAAUUGAACAUUAAUGUAUGUUUCCGGUGGGGUGAGUGUGUAUUAAUUGAACAUUUUAAUUGCUAUUUCAUGACAUAUGUGCUUAUUAAUUGAACAUUAAUGUAUGUUCAAG